AUACAGAGGGUGCGAGCGUUAAUCGGAAUUACUGGGCGUAAAGCGCGCGUAGGCGGCUUAUUAAGCCAGAUGUGAAAUCCCCGGGCUCAACCUGGGAACUGCAUCUGAUACUGGUAAGCUAGAGUUUUGGAGAGGGAAGUAGAAUUUCAGGUGUAGCGGUGAAAUGCAUAGAGAUCUGAAGGAAUACCAGUGGCGAAGGCGACUUCCUGGCCAAAAACUGACGCUGAGGUGCGAAAGCGUGGGUAGCAAACGGGAUUAGAAACCCUAGUAGUCC
rnacentral:rRNA from 1 species